CCUACGGGUGGCAGCAGUGGGGAAUAUUGCACAAUGGGGGAAACCCUGAUGCAGCGACGCCGCGUGAGUGAAGAAGUAUUUCGGUAUGUAAAGCUCUAUCAGCAGGGAAGAAAAUGACGGUACCUGAUUAAGAAGCCCCGGCUAACUACGUGCCAGCAGCCGCGGUAAUACGUAGGGGGCAAGCGUUAUCCGGAUUUACUGGGUGUAAAGGGAGCGUAGACGGUGAUGCAAGUCAGAAGUGAAAGCCCGGGGCUCAACUCCGGGACUGCUUUUGAAACUGUGUGACUGGAGUGCAGGAGAGGUAAGAGGAAUUAAUGGGGUAGAGGUGAAAUGAGUAGAUAUAAGGAGGAAAAACAGUGGAGAAGGAGGAUUAAUGGAAUGUAAAUGAAGUUGAGGAUAGAAAGAGUGGGGAGAAAACAGGAUUAGAUACCCCGGUAGUC
rnacentral:rRNA from 1 species